rnacentral:sRNA from 1 species
AAUCGAGGGGCUGGUGAAGGAGCUGCUGGAGAGGGAGGGACUCACAGCUGCAGGUGGGCCCUGGAGGGCGGCUGGACCCAGCGCUGUCGGAAGGGCAAGCUGCCAGAAGUGGAGGGGCUGGGACCAGUGGGGCAGGGGUCCUGCCCUGAGGCUCCCAGCCAUCCUCUCCUCUCACUGCAUACUGCUCCUUUCCAGGGAAAAUUGAGAUCAAAAUUGUCCGCCCAUGGGCUGAAGGGACUGAAGAGGGUGCACGUUGGCUAACUGAUGAGGACACGAGAAACCUCAAGGAGAUCUUCUUCAAUAUCUUGGUGCCGGGAGCCGAAGAGGCCCAGAAGGAACGCCAGCGGCAGAAAGAGCUGGAAAGCAAUUACCGCCGGGUGUGGGGCUCUCCAGGUGGGGAGGGCACAGGGGACCUGGACGAAUUUGACUUCUGAGACCAACACUGCACUUGAUCCUUCACGGAAUCCAGACUCUUCCUGGACUGGCCUGCCUCCUCCCCACCUCCCCACCCUGGAACCCCUGAGGGCCAAACAGCAGAGUGGAGCUGAGCUGUGGACCUCUCUCGGGCAACUCUGGGGGUGUGGGGGCCCUGGGUGAAUGCUGCUGCCCCUGUUGGCAGCCACCUUGAGACCUCACCGGGCCUGUGAUGUUUGCUCUCCUGAACUCUCACUCAAUUCUCUUCCUCUCCUCUGGGGCUUUUCCUGUUAUUGUCCCCUAACGGUAGGAUAUUCCCUGCUGCCUACCUGGAGAUUUGGUAGGAUCUUUUGAGUGGAGGUGGGUAGAGAGAGAAAGGAGGGCAGGACACUUAGCAAGCAGGCCCCCACCUGCCCUUAGUGCUGUCUGGACUCGCUUUACCCUCUUCUAUUGAAUUGCCUUGGGAUUUCCUUCUCCCUUUCCCUGCCCACCCUGUCCCCUACAAUUUGUGCUUCUGGUUUGAGGAGGCUUCACCUCUGUUGCUGAGGAAUUGAUAGAAUGCUGCCCAUCACCUCCAGCACAAUCCCAGUGAAAAAGGUCUGAAG